AGCAAUUUAGAUGGAACGUGACUCUUCUUGGUUGGCACCCCCUCUGGUUCUAUAAAUAGGAGGUGGCAGAUAGGUUGAUAACUUAAUUCUUACAAAACCUUAUCCACUCUCUCUCUCUCUCUCUUACAACUUUAGUUCUUUUAGGACAAGGUUUAUUCUUUUAAGACAAACCUAUUCCUAUUAGGGCAAAGGGUUUAAGAUGUCCUAAAGAAAGAGGUCAAGGCUAGGAGGAGGUUCUAAAAGGUCCAGACUCAGAUCUAGAGGAGGGUCUAAUCAGUUUGAGGCUGGUCGAGUAAUAAGAGUUAGAACUCUUGAAGCA
rnacentral:lncRNA from 1 species